UCCACGAAGCUGGAUUCGCUAGUAAUCGCGCAUCAGCCACGGCGCGGUGAAUACGUUCCCGGGCCUUGUACACACCGCCCGUCAAGCCAUGGAAGCCGGGAGUGCCUGAAGUGCGUGACCGCAAGGAGCGUCCUAAGGCAAUACCGGUGACUGGGGCUAAGUCGUAACAAGGUAUC
rnacentral:rRNA from 1 species